rnacentral:rRNA from 1 species
UACGUAGGGUGCGAGCGUUAAUCGGAAUUACGUGGGCGUAAAGAGUGCGUAGGCGGUUCUUUGUGUCCGCUGUGAAAGCCCCGGGACUUAACCCGUUGGGAAGUGGCAGUGGAAACGUAAGAGAACUUGAAUCUGGCAGAGGGGGUGGAAUGGCCACGUGUAGCAGUGAAAUGCGUAGAUAUGUGGCGGAACACCGAUGGCGAAGGCAGCCCCCUGGGCUGAGAUUGACGCUCAGGCACGAAAGCGUGGGGAGCAAACAGG